GCUUAUCACCAUUCUAGAUUGAAUAUCCCCGAUCUCUUCUGAUCUCGGAAGUCAAGCAAUCUUCGGGCUUGGUUAGUACUUGGAUGGGUGACCGGCUUGGCGAAUACCAAGUGUGAUAAACA
rnacentral:rRNA from 1 species